UACAGAGGUCCCAAGCGUUGUUCGGAUUCAUUGGGCGUAAAGGGCUCGUAGGCGGUUUGUCGCGUCGGGAGUGAAAUCCACUGGCUUAACUGGUGGCUUGCUUUCGAUACGGGCAGACUGGAGGUAUGCAGGGGAGACGGAAUUCCUGGUGUAGCGGUGAAAUGCGCAGAUAUCAGGAGGAACACCGGUGGCGAAGGCGGUUCUCUGGGCAUGUCCUGACGUGAGGAGCGAAAGUGUGGGAGCGAACAGG
rnacentral:rRNA from 1 species